CGGGACGGGUGAGUAACGCGUGGGUAACCUGCCCUGUACAGGGGGACAACAGCUGGAAACGACUGCUAAUACCGCAUAAGCCCACGGCUCGGCAUCGAGCAGAGGGAAAAGGAGUGAUCCGCUUUGAGAUGGCCUCGCGUCCGAUUAGCUAGUUGGUGAGGUAACGGCCCACCAAGGCGACGAUCGGUAGCCGGACUGAGAGGUUGAACGGCCACAUUGGGACUGAGACACGGCCCAG
rnacentral:rRNA from 1 species